rnacentral:rRNA from 1 species
AUUGAACGCUGGCGGCAGGCCUAACACAUGCAAGUCGAGCGGAGCGGCGGACGGGUGAGUAAUGCCUAGGAAUCUGCCUGGUAGUGGGGGAUAACGUACGGAAACGGGCGCUAAUACCGCAUAAUAUCAGAUGAGCCUAGGUCGGAUUAGCUAGAUGGUGGGGUAAAGGCCUACCAAGGCGACGAUCCGUAACUGGUCUGAGAGGAUGAUCAGUCACACUGGGACUGAGACACGGUCCAGACUCCUACGGGAGGCAGCAGUAGGGAAGAUUGGGCAAUGGGCGAAAGCCUGAUCGAGCCAUGCCGCGUGUGUGAAGAAGGUCUUCGGAUUGUAAAGCACUUUAAGUUGGGAAGCGUUACCAACAGAAUAAGCACCGGCUAACUUCGUGCCAGCAGCCGCGGUAAUUC